UGAAAUGCGUUGAAGGAGAAGAGUAAGCAGUGCCUCUGUACAGGGAGGAGACACCGGAGAUUGAGAGUGUCUCUAUGGAAACAGGCUGCCGAAGUUCGCUCCGGAGCAGUUCCCUGAACCCGGCGCUUUGCCGUUCAGUAGGGGAUAUCGGGUUCCGAUCCGUUACGUCGGUCAAAGUGAGUUCGAGGUAUUGAAGCACGGAAUAACUUGGUUAUUUUAGCCUUUAAAUCCGGACUAACAAGGGUGGUACCACGGUCUUUUCGUCCCUUUC
rfam:Paenibacillus sp. DMB20 gs_2, whole genome shotgun sequence.